GUACUGAUGAGGAGUACCAGAUUAGGACGAAACAGCUGUCCAGUAC
rnacentral:hammerhead_ribozyme from 1 species